UGUUAAGUCGGAUGUGAAAGCCCCGGGCUCAACCUGGGAAUAGCAUUUAGAACUGGCAGGCUAGAGUCUUGGAGAGGGGAGUGGAAUUCCAGGUGUAGCGGUGAAAUGCGUAGAGAUGUGGAGGAAUACCAAUGGCGAAGGCAGCCCCCUGGGAUAAUAUUGACGCUCAUGUACGAAAGCGUGGGGAGCGAACAGGAUUAGAUACCCU
rnacentral:rRNA from 1 species